AGAGUUUGAAUUCCUAGGCUCAGGAUGACUCUAGCGGCAGGCCUAACACAUGCAAGUCUAGGGGUAGUGGAGUGCUGCAGCCCCCUGAGACCGGCGCACGGGUGCGGACGCGUAUGGAACCUGCCCCUGUCAGGGAAUACCCAGGGAAACUUGGAUAAUGCCCCAUGGUAUCAAUACAUCGCAUGAUGUUAUGAUUAAAGAUUUAUCGGACGGUAUGGCCAUGAGUACCAUAGCUUGAUGGUGGGGUAACGGCCCGACCAUGGCACGAUGGUUAGGGGCCCUGAGAGUGGUAUCCCCCACACCUGUUGACGAGCCCGGACCAGCAUCCUACGGAGGCAGCCGUGAAGGAAAUAUUGGACAUGGUCGGAAGCUGAUCCAGCCAUGCCGCGUGCAGGAUGACGGCCCUAUGGGUUGGUAAACUGCUUUUAUACGGGAAGAAACCCACCUACGUGUAUUGGCUGACGGUACCGUAAGAAUAAGGACCGGCUAACUCCUGCCGCAGCCGCGUAAUACGGAGGCCGAGCGUUAUCCGGAAUCAUUGGGUUUUAAAGGGUCCGUAGCGGCCUGGUAAUGUCAGGAGGGGUGAAAGUUUGGGGCUCAACCAUAAAUUGGCCUUUGAUACGCAUGGUCUUUGAUUCCCAUUUUUGGGUUGCCGGGAACAUGUGGUGUAGCGGUGACAUGCAUGUAUCACAUAGAACAACCGAUCGCGAAGGCAGGGGACAACCAUGUACUGACGUCUGAUGGAACGAAAGCUUGGGUAGCGAACGGGAUUAGAUACCACCCCGUAUCCCGCCGUACACGAUGGAUACUUAGCUGUGGGGACAUUGUCUCCGUGCCACUCGAAAGUGAUAAUUGAUUCCCACCUGGGGAGUAACGACCGCAAGGUUGACACUCAAAGGAAUUGACGGGGCCCGCAAACAAGCGGUGGAGCAUGUGGUUUUAACUUCGAUGAUACGCGAGGAACCUUACCGAGGGCUUAAUGCAGGCUGCAUUGGGUGGGAGACAUCCCUUUCUUCGGACGCCUGCAGUGCUCCUGGUUGUGGCGUCAGCCUCGUGCCGUAGUGUCGUUAAGUCCUAUAACGAGCGCAACCCCUACCGUUAGUGCCGCGAGUCAAGUCGGGGACUCUAACGGGACUGGCCGGUGCAACCGUGAGGAGGUGGGGACACGUCAAAUCAUCACGGCCCUUAUACGUCCUGGGCCACACAACUGCUACAAUGGCCGGUAACAGAGGGAAGCAACCCCGCAAGGGGGCGCGGAUCUAUAAAACCGGUCACAUUUCGGAUCGGGGUCUUAAUCUCGACCCCGUGAAGCUGGAAUCGCUAGUAAUCGAUAUCAGCCAUGAUCCGGUGAAUACGUUCCCGGGCCUUGUGUACACAACACCCAGCCCGUCAAGCCAUGGAAGCCGGGAGUGCUGAAGAGUCCCGUCAAACCCUGCAAGGAGGCGGCCUAGGGCAAAAUCGGUAACUAGGGCUCAGUCCGUAACAAUGUAGCCGUACCGGAAGUGGCGGCUG
rnacentral:rRNA from 1 species